AUGUGGGUGCAGGAGUGGAAGCCGGUGAUGGGAAUGCUGGCCUUCGACCUCAUCUCUGCUGUGAUGACGGCGCUGGUGAAGAAGGCUCUGGAGCAAGGGCUGAACCGCCUGGUCCUCGUCACCCUCCGGCUGGUCGCUAACAUCUUCCUUGCUCCAAUAGCCUUUUUCAAAGAACGGAGCACGAGGCCCAAGCUCACAUUGGAGGUCCUAGCGUACCUCUUCUUCAGCGCCGUGUUUGGCGCGACGCUCUCACAGUACACCUUCUUCUAUGGCUUGCAGUACACCACUUCCACCUUCGCCAUAACCUUCAUCAACCUCUCUCCUGUGCUCACCUUCCUCAUCGCCGUCGUGAUGAGGAUGGAACCGCUGAAGUUGAAGAGCAUGGUGGGAGCCGCAAAGAUCACCGGAACGCUCACGUCGCUGGCCGGCUUGCUGCUGCUGAGUCUCUACAAGGGUGUGCCACUGACGCACCAGGCUGCCACUGCACCUAGCCCAGCUGCUCACCAUGCAGCACCCUCCGACAGCAGUGGCAACAGGAGCUGGAUGCUGGGCACCAUGGCUUUGCUGUUCAACUGCCUGCGCUUCUCCUUCUGGCUGCUGCUGCAGACAAAGCUGACCAAGAAGUACCCGGCCAUCUACUCCAGCACUGCCAUCAUGUUCUUCAGUAAAUGGCAUCGACAUUCCACAGAACAAAUGUCAACUAGGAUGCGUGUGUAUGUAUCAAAUAUGGCAGGAUUUGUUCCUCGCGCCGGAGUACACCAAUGCAAUGGUGCGGAGGCCGUACAAAUUUCUUAUUUCCAUUGCUACAAGUUUGAGUGA
rnacentral:rRNA from 1 species